GUGAGGAAUAUUGCGCAAUGGAGGCAACUCUGACGCAGCCAUGCCGCGUGCAGGAAGAAGGCGCUACGCGUUGUAAACUGCUUUUAACCGGGAAGAAACCCCAGGACGUGUCCUGGGUUGACGGUACCGGAGGAAUAAGCACCGGCUAACUUCGUGCCAGCAGCCGCGGUAAUACGAAGGGUGCAAGCGUUAUCCGGAUUCAUUGGGUUUAAAGGGUGCGUAGGCGGAGCGUUAAGUCAGUGGUGAAAUCCUGCAGCUUAACUGUAGACUUGCCAUUGAUACUGGCGCUCUGGAUUGCGCUUGAAGUGGGCGGAAUGUGCCGUGUAGCGGUGAAAUGCUUAGAUAUGGCACAGAACACCAAUUGCGAAGGCAGCUCACUAAGGCGAUACUGACGCUGAGGCACGAAAGCGUGGGGAUCGAACAGGAUUAGAAACCCUUGUAGUCC
rnacentral:rRNA from 1 species